UUGGAGGGUCCUGCUUUCGAGUGGGCCCA
rnacentral:snRNA from 1 species